rnacentral:rRNA from 1 species
GGUAGCUGGUCUGAGAGGAUGGUCAGCCACACUGGAACUGAGACACGGUCCAGACACCUACGGGUGGCAGCAGUCGAGAAUCAUUCGCAAUGGGGGAAACCCUGACGAUGCGACGCCGCGUGGAGGAUGAAGGCCUUAGGGUUGUAAACUCCUGUCAAGAGGGAAUAAGCAAGUGAAGGUACCUCUAGAGGAAGGGGCGGCUAAUUCCGUGCCAGCAGCCGCGGUAACACGGAAGCCCCGAGCGUUGUUCGGAUUCAUUGGGCGUAAAGGGUGCGUAGGCGGCGCGGAAAGUCCGGCGUGAAAGGCAGAGGCUCAACCUCUGGACUGCGUUGGAUACUUCCGUGCUUGAGGACUGGAGGGGAGACUGGAAUUCACGGUGUAGCAGUGAAAUGCGUAGAUAUCGUGAGGAAGACCGGUGGCGAAGGCGAGUCUCUGGACAGAUCCUGACGCUGAGGCACGAAGGCUGGGGGAGCGAACAGGAUUAGAUACCCUGGUAGUCCCAGCAGUAAACGAUGUGAGCUUGAUGUGGGGGGAUUCGACCCCUUCCGUGUCGAAGCUAACGCGAUAAGCUCACCGCCUGAGGAGUACGGCCGCAAGGCUAAAACUCAAAGAAAUUGACGGGGACCCGCACAAGCGGUGGAGUAUGUGGCUUAAUUCGAUGCAACGCGAAGAACCUUACCUGGCCUUGACAUGCAUUGUGUCGUCGGUGAAAGCCGGCUAGUCCUGGAAACAGGACGCUUUGCACAGGUGCUGCAUGGCUGUCGUCAGCUCGUGUCGUGAGAUGUUGGGUUAAGUCCCGCAACGAGCGCAACCCUUGUGGUCAGUUACUAACCGGCUUAGCCGGAGGACUCUGGCCAGACUGCCCUGUCAAACGGGGAGGAAGGUGGGGACGACGUCAGGUCAGUAUGGCCCUUAUGGCCAGGGCUGCACACGUACUACAAUGCCCGGUACAAUGUGAACCGAAACCGCGAGGUGGAGGAAAUCGCUCUUGAAAACCGGGCCCAGUUCGGAUUGGAGUCUGCAACUCGACUCCAUGAAGUCGGAAUCGCUAGUAAUGGCGUAUCAGCAACGACGCCGUGAAUACGUUCCCGGGUCUUGUACACACCGCCCGUCACAUCAUG